UUCCCUGUGGCUCAGUUGGUAGAGCAUGGUGUUUGCAACGCCAGCAUGGUGUGUGCAACGCCAGGGUUGUGAGUUCGAUUCCCACGGGGGACC
rnacentral:tRNA from 1 species